rnacentral:rRNA from 1 species
UACAGAGGUCUCAAGCGUUGUUCGGAUUCAUUGGGCGUAAAGGGUGCGUAGGUGGCGCCGUAAGUCAGGUGUGAAAUCUCGGGGCUCAACCCCGAAACUGCACUUGAUACUGCGGUGCUCGAGUACUGGAGAGGAGAUUGGAAUUUACGGUGUAGCAGUGAAAUGCGUAGAGAUCGUAAGGAAGACCAGUGGCGAAGGCGGGUCUCUGGACAGUUCCUGACACUGAGGCACGAAGGCCAGGGGAGCAAACGGG